GACGUAGGGGGCGAGCGUUGUCCGGAAUUACUGGGCGUAAAGAGCACGUAGGCGGAUAAUUAAGUCAGGUGUGAAAGGCCGCAGCCCAACUGCGGGAUUGCACUUGAAACUGAAUAUCUUGAGGGCAGGAGAGGUUAGUGGAAUUCCUGGUGUAGCGGUGAAAUGCGUAGAAAUCAGGAGGAACACCAGUGGCGAAGGCGACUAACUGGACUGACCCUGACGCUGAGGUGCGAAAGCGUGGGUAG
rnacentral:rRNA from 1 species